rnacentral:rRNA from 1 species
UACGAAGGGGGCUAGCGUUGUUCGGAAUUACUGGGCGUAAAGGGCGCGUAGGCGGCCGCCUAAGUCAGACGUGAAAUCCCUCGGCUCAACCGGGGAACUGCGUCUGAUACUGGGUGGCUUGAAUCCGGGAGAGGGAUGCGGAAUUCCAGGUGUAGCGGUGAAAUGCGUAGAUAUCUGGAGGAACACCGGUGGCGAAGGCGGCAUCCUGGACCGGCAUUGACGCUGAGGCGCGAAAGCCAGGGGAGCAAACGGG